GGCUUAGGCCCUCGUGAUUGCUGCAGCCUGGGCUGGCCUUCCUCUCUCCGUUACUGCCCUCUCUCUUUAAAUCAGCGCGUCCUCAAAGUGCCUGAUUAUAAGAAUCGUCUGCUAGGCUGAUUGAAAGUAUAGAUUCACAGAGGCAGAAAUGGAGGCACAGAAAGUUUGUUACCCUGAUCACGUAGCUAGAGGUGGAAGAGGAGGGUUUGAACAAAGGUUUCCUGAAUCCAAAUCUUGGCAAUGUUUAACCUAAGGUGUUCUACAUUCUGAGAGCUAGCUGGCAUCAAAGGGCAUGAUGGAGAGCUGGACCAGAGCUUGGAGCAGGAAGAGAAAACCUGCAGACAGUAUGGCUCUGCCAGGGAGAGUGGAUCACAUGAUCAGAGAAGCCGCCCCAAGCAGGGAGCCACAGAAACAUGUGGAAAGAAGGCUCUGGCUCCCCUGAAGCCGAGCCCAUUUCCUACAGCCCAAGCCUGUCAGGCUGCUCUCUAUCUUGAUGAUUGGCUCCCUUUUCCAAGUAAAAGUCUGUUCCUAGCAACCAGACAAUUCCUGAUGAAAACCUCAGUGUUAUGAUUAUGUCCUGUUAAUAAAUGUUACAGGGUAUGA